rnacentral:pre_miRNA from 1 species
CUGUGCCCCUUUUCUGUGCCGUGAUUUGUUACUCGACAAAGAUAAGGCGGCUCAGCG